UCUGGCCCCUACCAGUAUGGAACAGACGGUGGCAGCAGCAGCAGCCGGAGAAGAAGGAGAUGGCAGGAGGGCUGCCAGCCUGUGUGGUGGCUUGUGGCAUGGGAAAUACAAAAUUGGAUAUGCUGGAAAUACAGAACCACAGUUUAAUACCCUUUCCUGUAUUGCUACAAAUGAGUCAGCAAAAGUGAGGGAUCAAGCUCAAAGGAGGGUGAUGAAAUGUGUUGAUGACCAAGACUCCUUCAUUGAUGAUGAAGCAGUAGAAAAAACCUACAUAUGCGAUAAAGUGGCCAAUCCACAUGGUAUAGCUGAAGUUGGGGACUUGACGGAAAGAUUUAUGGAGCAAGUGAUCUUAAAUAUUUAAGGGCAGAAACUGAAGGCCAUUAUUUUAUUUUGUCUGAACCUUGACUGAAUACUGCAGGAAACAGGGAAUAUACUGCUGAAGUAAUGCUUGAGUCCUUCAAUAUUCCAGGCUUCUACAUUGCUGUGCAGGCUGUUCUUGCCUUAGCUACAUCUUGGACCUCCAGACAAGUAGGACGACAGACAUUGACUGGUAAAGUAAUAGACAGUGGAGAUGGUGUCACUCACGUCAUUCCUGUGGCUGAAGGGUAUUUGACUGGCAGCUGUAUUAAAUACAUUGCAGUCCCAGGAUGAGAUAUAACAUAUUUUAUUCCGUAACUGCUGAGAGACUGAGAAGAAUCCCUCAAAAACAAUCCCUGGAAGCUGCUAAGCCAAUAAAGGAGCACUAUAGUUAUGUCUACCCAGAUUUAGUAUAAGAAUUUAACAAGUAUGACACAGAUGGGUCAAAAUGGAUUAAACAGUAUACCAGAAUCCAUGCUGUCUCAAAGAAAGACUUUUCCAUUGGUGGUGUUUCUGAGAGAUUCUGAGGACCUGAAACCUUUUUUCAUCCAGAGUUUGCUAAUCCAGACUUUACAUAACCUAUCUCAGAAGUUAUAAAUGAAGUAAUUCAGAAUUGUCCUAUUGAUGUCAGACGUCCUGUCUACAAGAAUAUGGUCCUCUUUGUAGGUUCAACCAUGUUCAGUGACUUUGGAUAUCACUUACAAAGAGAUUUGAAAAGAACUCUAGAUUCCUGGCUGAGAUUAAGUAAGAAAUUUAGUGGGAGAAGAGUGAAGCCAAAAUCUAUUGAUGUACAAGUCAUUACACACCACGUGCAGUGAUAUGCAGCUUGGCUUGGAGGAUCAGUGCUGGCUUCUACACCUGAGUUCUACCAAGCAUGCCACACUAAAAAUGAUUAUGAAGAAAUUGGACCUAAAAUUUGCCAUCACAAUCCAGUGUUUGGAGUCAUGUCAUAA